CCCCCCCAGACCCAUGGCAGAGGAGGAGCUCCCUGAGUUGACCCCCCAGGAGCUGCAGCUGCUGCUGGAGGAGGGGGAGCCCCUGAGUGCAGCAGAGGAAAUCCCAGAGGUGCCCCACGUCCC